rnacentral:tRNA from 1 species
UCUUCCUUAGCUCAGUUGGUUAGAGCAUCUGACUGUUAAUCAGAGGGUC